GAGGGUAUAACUCAGUUGUAGAGUAACUGCUUAGCAUGCACAAGUUCCUAGGUUCAAUCCCCAAUACCUCUA
rnacentral:tRNA from 1 species